ACCCGACUUGAACGGAAAUCCUUUUUUGUGGCUGGAAAAGCGUAGGCAAAAAGAUUGGGAGUGGAAGGCGGAAAAGUUG
rnacentral:sRNA from 1 species